AUAGCAAGGUCGAUGUCCAUUCAUUUUUAUAAAAUGGAUGUAAAAUCUCAAAUGCAAGAGCUAAAGUCGUAGAGAGAACUGGAGUAGCUAGCUAGCUAGCUAGAGUGGCAAAUUAUUCCAUUAGGACUUGUUUGUUACAACCCGAUACCCACCGAUUCGGAGGACUGGCAGGGAUUGAUGGGGAUUGUAGUUCAUUCCCCCUCAAUCUUUCCCAUUUCCCAUCAAUUCAGAGGAAAUGACACUAGACUGAACAUUACACGGAUACAUGUGAUCAAAACCGUUUCGGAAGGAAGGUGCUUAGGGGGAGGACUAAUCAAUUUUCCUAGUGCAACCUAGAGGCUCUCACGUCGCCCACCUCGGGCGACUCGGGGGCAACCCCCGCCGCCAGCCGCCGCCACCCUCCCUCCUUCUCUCUCCCCUCGCCGCCGCUAGAGGCUGCAGCCGGCAAGGCCGGGCGUUGCCGAUGAAGGAGGCGGCGAGGCGCUCCGCGCGUGCCCGUGCCCCUCCACCAUGCUCCAUGGCCGGCCCUCGAUCUGCCGUCUUCGGCCAGAUCCGGCCCUGGGCGGCGAGAUCCCGUCGGAGGUCUCUUGGGCUUGGCGGCGGGCGGAAGGGCGUCCUGGUGUGGCCGCGGGCCGCUGCUCGGUCGUGGAGCGCACCUGCUUUCCACGGCCGUGUGCGGGGGAGGGCGGAGCUCGUCGGCCACCGCCGGUGCUCCCUCAAGGCCGGAUCCGGCGGUUGUUCAGCCGCCGGUUCCCUGCCCUCCGCCCAGGCGCCGUACUUCACCAGCUGUGCACCCACUCCGCCGCCUCCCACCUCGCCAUCACCCUGCUGCUCGGCCUCGCGGCGGCUCCCUGAGCUCCGGCCCGACUUGCUGCCUCCUUCACCGGAUCCGUGCCGCGCCGGAGAAGGCAGCCGCACUCGCGUCCCCCACCCCUCGUCAGUGCCUACUGCUGUUCCGCCACGUGUGCGGCUCGACAGUCACAAACUUGGCGCCCGCGACGGUCCCCUGCCCCAGAUCUGCUGCUUUGCGGCUUGGCAGACCCUAUUGCGCCGGCGUCGGCCCCCCGCCCCAGAUCCAUAUCGGUGAUUCAAGGAAGAGGCCAGGGCAUACCCCUUUUCGAAAGGAAAAGAAAAAACUCUUGAUCAGAUUCGGUGUUUACGGAGCCCUAUGAGGCACAGAUGCUGAUGUUUCGAUGCAGCAGCACCAUUGCUGCACACGCUCUUUCCGGUUCUAUAUAUUCUCCAGAGUGGGGGACGAUGUUUGUGUUAUGUCACACAUAUCCUACGGCUGCAGUCCGCACUUGUGGGCGUCUUGGUACCCCCUGGCAUCUGGGGCGUUGCCACAAUAAGAUUAGCUUUCAAGUCGCAACCACAAUAUAACUAGAGAAAUUUCUUUCCGUCACCCCUUGUUGUUGAUCUACCGAUGCUUCCUAUCCCUAGUAGACCUCCUUGCCACCUAAUUUUAAGUAAUCCAAACAAGGUUUUUUUUGGUUCCGAUAUGCUCAUCCCCAUCCAUUCACUCUCUGGUUCUUAAAGUUCAGUGGUCGAGCUUCAUCUCUGGUUCUCAUAGGAUAUGCUGUAUAUGUGUAAUCACGAGUAGUUCGCGCGUGCUAUUGUACCUUCUGAAAAUUAUGUACUGGAUGCUUUAUUGUCCUUUAUGUAGCAAAUAAUUUCUUGGAGAACUUCAAGAGCA